rnacentral:rRNA from 2 species
UCUUCGGAGAGUUUGAUCCUGGCUCAGGAUGAACGCUGGCGGCGUGCCUAAUACAUGCAAGUCGAGCGAACUGAUUAGAAGCUUGCUUCUAUGACGUUAGCGGCGGACGGGUGAGUAACACGUGGGCAACCUGCCUGUAAGACUGGGAUAACUUCGGGAAACCGAAGCUAAUACCGGAUAGGAUCUUCUCCUUCAUGGGAGAUGAUUGAAAGAUGGUUUCGGCUAUCACUUACAGAUGGGCCCGCGGUGCAUUAGCUAGUUGGUGAGGUAACKGCUCACMAAGGCAACGAUGCAUAGCCGACCUGAGAG